UUUCACCGAUUAUGCACAAGACAGUGAUCUUUUGAAGAAUUAUGCAAAAUGGAAGGGUGUGUUUAGAUAAUUGUGCUUUAUUUAGAAAUAGAAUAGAACAGAAUAGAAAAUCCCUUUAUUGUCCCCCAAUGCUAUGGAGGACCAAUCCUGCCAUUAUAGAAAACACAUACAGAAAUAAACUUAGGACUAAAUAAUAUAAAGAUGCAUGAAAAAGUGGCUAAUGUUAUGAAUUUGUGUGCCAUUAAAUGCAACAUAUAAAUAAAAAGAAGUUAUUUCUUUAACAAUUGAUCAAUUAUCUAAAAACAUUUAUCAUAACUUCCACUUUUAUUUUAUCUUUUCUUCUUGCUGACUUAUUUUGAACCCAUUUAUUUUCUGUAAUACAUUAUUUUAUUUUUAUUUUUAUCUUUAUUUCAUGUUUGUGUAUUUAUUACAAGUUGUUUUUUUUUUGUUCCAGAUUUCCACUGUAACCCUUUUCAUUGUUGAUAUUUAUUCACGCCAAAAUUAAAAUACAUUGUUAUUUAUGUUUCAUGCCGAUUCACACCACAAUAUUUUUACACAACUAUUGGCCAAAGCCUAGCUCCCCGGAAAUGGUAAUUAAGUAAGAGUAGUGCAGGAUUGGAUUUUCCCUCCAGGCAAAGAUGUAGCAAUGACUAACUUAUGGAAUGCCAUAGAAAACUAAGGCAAGUUGCUGAUUUGUCAGAAUACAUCACGAUUUCUAAUGAUUAUGUUCUGUAUUGUCUCGACUGCUUAACAGACAGAAUCAAACUGCUAGAAGCAACUACUGAAAUAGAUCUUGACCCAGCAGCGUUAAGAAACUUGGGCGAGGUGGUGUUGUGCUAAAAACUGACAGUCUGCCAAAAGGUGAUCGGCUUAGAUGGGGUGUGUCACCGUAGAGCAGCAAGCUCAAAGAAAUCAAACACUAUUUUGAAAUCAAAUGCUAUUAACACAAGUAAAACAGUUAUAUUGUAUAAUCAAGGUUACAUCAGAUGUGUGUAUUAUUUGCCUUUCUCCUCCUCUUCUCCCUAUCAAAGGAUUCAAUCUGCAAAUUUUCCCUCAUAAACAUCUCAAAAUCCUAAACAGACUUUGGCAAAAAAGUCAACUUUAGGCAACGUAUUUGCAGUAAGUUUGCUUAGAUUUAAAAACAUUCUGUAACGUUACUGUACUGUGAUGGAUGUAACUCAAUAAAUUAUUUAA